rnacentral:lncRNA from 1 species
GGUGUGUUGAGUGAAUGCACUAUUAAGAAUUUGUGUUUUAGUCUGUUUCUCAGAUCCUAUAUUGCAGAAGAUUAACUAUUAUAGUAUUUGAUACAUUGAAUUGUUGUGAGGUGUACAUUUUUUUGUAUGUUAGUUUACAUACAUUGUAUGAGACAUAUAAGAUGUUAAUGUAUUUAUGUUGUCAGUCAACUACGUGUGCUUAAUGAAAUAAUUGUAAACUUUACAAGUCUCAGGGGAUUUUUGAAAUUAUGUACAUAUUUGGAAACUACUGUUCCCGCUAAUGUAUUACGAGAAGGUAUCAUUCGGAAAUUACUACAAACUGCGCUAUGAUCUCUUGGGGAAGAAUAUGUUCUUGCAUUUAGCAAUUAAAAUCUUGGACUAUUUAACAAUUUAUCAUAAUGCAUGCUUCUAAAAUCGUUUGUCAGCCUAAUGUUAAACCAAAUAUUGUUUGUACUUACGUUCUAUUUUUAACUAAUUAUUAUUCCUGGUUUUAACAAACGUCUCAGGACGAUGAAUAAGAUUAUAACAGAGAUUAAU